GGUUUUUAUAUGACCCAGAAGUUAGACACAUAGAAGGCCAUGUUCAAGCGUCAAUGAAGGACAAAUCUUACCGAGUGCAGAUCCCGUGAUCAGUG